AUGUCCUACGGGGGGCAGCAGUGAGGAAUAUUGGUCAAUGGACGAGAGUCUGAACCAGCCAAGUAGCGUGAAGGAUGACUGCCCUAUGGGUUGUAAACUUCUUUUAUAUGGGAAUAAAACGUUCCACGUGUGGGAUUUUGUAUGUACCAUAUGAAUAAGGAUCGGCUAACUCCGUGCCAGCAGCCGCGGUAAUACGGAGGAUCCGAGCGUUAUCCGGAUUUAUUGGGUUUAAAGGGAGCGUAGGUGGAUUGUUAAGUCAGUUGUGAAAGUUUGCGGCCCAACCGUAAAAUUGCAGUUGAAACUGG
rnacentral:rRNA from 1 species